UACGGGGGGGGCAAGCGUUGUUCGGAAUUACUGGGCGUAAAGAGCUCGUAGGCGGUUUGUCGCGUCUGCUGUGAAAACCUAAGGCUCAACCUUGGGCUUGCAGUGGGUACGGGCAGACUAGAGUGAUGUAGGGGAGACUGGAAUUCCUGGUGUAGCGGUGAAAUGCGCAGAUAUCAGGAGGAACACCGAUGGCGAAGGCAGGUCUCUGGGCAUUAACUGACGCUGAGGAGCGAAAGCAUGGGGAGCGAACAGG
rnacentral:rRNA from 1 species